AGUGUAGGUAGAGGUGCGAGCUUCAAAAGUAGUGGUUCUGAGAAGGAUGAGCUUCGAAGAAGAAUCAUGAAAGGGGAUGUUCGCCGAAGUGAAGAAAGUCUCAUUCUUUCUUUUGCUGGUCCUGUGUUGAAUAAAUACCGGAUUGUCAAGACUAAUAGUACGUCUUGGAGAGCUAUCUUACAU
rnacentral:ncRNA from 2 species